rnacentral:rRNA from 1 species
AUUGAACGCUGGCGGCGUGCCUAACACAUGCAAGUCGAGCGGUAACAGGUGUAGCAAUACAUGCUGACGAGCGGCGAACGGGUGAGUAAUGCUUUGGAAUCUUCCCAGUAGUGGGGAAUAACCAGUCGAAAGAUUGGCUAAUACCGCAUACGUCUGUAAAGGGAAAGCGGGGGACUCGCCUCUUCUUCGGAAGAGAGGCCUCGCGCUAUUGGAUGAGCCAAAGCGGAUUAGCUAGUUGGUGGGGUAAUGGCCUACCAAGGCGACAAUCCGUAGCUGGUCUGAGAGGACGACCAGCCACACCGGAACUGAGACACGGUCCGGACUCCUACGGGAGGCAGCAGUGGGGGAAUAUUGGACAAUGGGGAAACCCUGAUCCAGCGACGCCGCGUGUGUGAAGAAGGCC